rnacentral:rRNA from 1 species
UGGGGAAUUUUGGACAAUGGGCGCAAGCCUGAUCCAGCCAUGCCGCGUGCGGGAAGAAGGCCUUCGGGUUGUAAACCGCUUUUGUCAGGGAAGAAAUCUUCUGAGUUAAUACCUCGGGAGGAUGACGGUACCUGAAGAAUAAGCACCGGCUAACUACGUGCCAGCAGCCGCGGUAAUACGUAGGGUGCAAGCGUUAAUCGGAAUUACUGGGCGUAAAGCGUGCGCAGGCGGUUUUGUAAGACAGAGGUGAAAUCCCCGGGCUCAACCUGGGAACUGCCUUUGUGACUGCAAGGCUUGAGUGCGGCAGAGGGGGAUGGAAUUCCGCGUGUAGCAGUGAAAUGCGUAGAUAUGCGGAGGAACACCGAUGGCGAAGGCAAUCCCCUGGGCCUGCACUGACGCUCAUGCACGAAAGCGUGGGGAGCAAACAGGAUUAGAUACCCUGGUAGUCCACGCCCUAAAACGAUGUCAACUGGUUGUUGGGAAGGUUCCUUCUCAGUAACGUAGCUAACGCGUGAAGUUGACCGCCUGGGGAGUACGGCCGCAAGGUUGAAACUUAAAUGAAUUGA